rnacentral:lncRNA from 1 species
AGUGUGCUCUUUGCUCUAUACGCAUGCAGUACUAUUUGGUGGAGAAAACAACCAUAGUUGAUUGCCGUAUUCAUUUACAGGUGGAGAAAGCAACCAUUGUUGAUUACCAUCUACCCUAUUUGAAUUACACUUUUUUGGGUUAAAGAUCUUGAAAUAACUUUUCUACCUCGCAAAAUAGGAGUAAGAUCUAUGUAUAUUAUACUAUAUCCUCAAAACUUACUUGUGAAACUUUAUUAAAUCUGUUAUUAUUGUUACUACUGAUUAAUAGAGAGUUUGAGCAUAGGUAUAACAGACAAUAUUCUUGAAAUUUUUUUGUUAUUGUUCGGUUUCUACAAUGUUUAUUGUUUAUGCUUUGUAAAAUAGGAUUCAACAAAUAUAUUUUUUAUUUUUGGUUAGUUUGUUAUAAAGAACAUAAUUUUUGCAACAAUGCACAAUAAUUACAUUAUUAAUUAUUUUAUGUUACUAAUGGUUUUUUUAAAAAAAGAAAAAUUAAACCGAUGGUAGAUGAAUGUUUGAUCGGAUUUUGAGAAAAACUAUUUGUAAAGAUUUGGUUUAAUUUCAUUAUUUUGAUAUCUCUAUUAUCGAAUUAUUUUGUUAUAAUUUAUAGGUGGUAGAAAAUGUUGGUCAGCUUUGAGGAAUUUUUUAUAUAAAGAUUGAUAUAUUGACUAUCAUAUUGUUUAAUUGUAGUUUAUGAGCUUCAGGUUUUAGAAAAGUAGGUUAGUUUAUAUAUAUGUUGUAUGGUGUUUGUGCAGGGAGGCUUUAAUCUUGGAGAUCUGUUAUUUCAUUGAGCAACCAAAAUCUGAAAAGGAAUUUUACUAAGACUCUUCUUCCCACUAAGUUGGUCGGUCUGGACAUGCAACACAACGCCAAGGCCAGUGGCGGAUUCAGGAAUUUUCUUCAGGGGGUUAGAAAAAUAAAAAUAUAAAUGUGUGAAUAAGCCAAUAAAAUAUAAUUUCAAG